GACGAAGGAUGCAAGCGUUAUCCGGAUUCAUUGGGCUUAAAGGGCGCGUAGGCGGACUUAUAAGUCAGUGGUGAAAUCUCUGGGCUUAACCCAGAAACUGCCAUUGAUACUGUAGGUCUAGAGUACAUUUGAUGUGGGCGGAAUAUGACAUGUAGUGGUGAAAUACUUAGAUAUGUCAUAGAACACCGAUUGCGAAGGCAGCUCACAAAAAUGUAACUGACGCUGAGGCUCGAAAGUGAGGGGAGCAAACAGG
rnacentral:rRNA from 1 species